UCUCUCUGAGCCGCGGCCUCAGCAUGGCUGCUGACAGAGCAGUGGUCUGGUUCCGAACCCGGGCUGCUGGAGUGAAAUUCAAUGAACUUUAACCUCUAGACCCUCAGGGCUGUGUCCAAGCAGAACUGCUGUUAGUCAAAUAAACUCUUGGUACAUGGUCAUUUUAUGAAGAAAAAAUGAUUUUUGAACCUUGGAGAAGGAACAAUUAAAUUGACCACUUGAGAUCAUUUCGAAAUUAAUAUGCUAAAUAAUUGUUGCAAUUUAGUGAUCAUCAUCUUCAAUUGUUUGUCUGUUUCUUCUUUGGGGGAGAGCGUUACUACUCUCUCCUCCUCCCCCUGUAAUUGCACUAAGGGCCUUAACCUCAUCUGUGAUUCCAACUCCUUGGCCACAGUGGUAUGUGGGGCAGGUCGCUGGGUCAGGCUAGUGUGGUCACAGUGCCUGCAUCCCGCACUCUGGAACCCGGUGACUGGCCUGUGACUCAGGCCAGCCAGAAGAAUCUUUCCACAGAGUGCUGGCAGCUGCAACUGUGGAUGAGUGUUUGUUUCCUCUGGUCACAGCAUAACAGGACAAUAGGAGACUGGGGUAGAUAACCCUGAAGCAGCCUUCUAAGUUCAAUGAUUCCUAACAAGAUGGCUCUCCAACCAAUGGAGUAAAUGGACUUGACACCUAUCAGAUUCUUCACAAACCGUAAGUUUAGCCAUCGUGCUGAUUUCGUGACAAGGGCUCAAAGAGAAGGAUGUAGAGCGAGGAGAGGAUGGUCGGGGAAGGCGGCGGAGAGCCGGAGAGCAGCGAGGAUGGAGGGGAGGGGGCGUGAGGACCAUCUGAGCUGCGUUCAGCGGGAGCCUGGGAGGCGUGUGCUCAGGCCAAGGGCGCGCGGAUGUUCACAAACCGACUCCAAGGCCGCAAGCGUGGAAUCAGGAAAUCUCCGCAUCAUGAAUUUGUUUUUACGAAG
rnacentral:lncRNA from 1 species